rnacentral:rRNA from 1 species
CUAACCAGGAUUCUCCUAGUAACGGCGAGUGAACGGAGAUUAGCCCAUCACCGAAGUCUAUUCACGUAUGUGGACAAGACAAUGUGGUGUUCGUGUAUGUACCUGGGAGCGCUUGCCUACUCGAAGUCCAACUCCGAUUAUGGCUAGGACUAUGCCCAGAGCGGGUGAAAGGCCCGUUCGGGUAGGUUUUUUGCAUUAUAGAAGCGCUCCUCAGAUGUGCAUAUUAUCGAGUCGGAUUGCUUGAGAAUGCAGUCCAAAGUGGGUGGUAAACUCCAUCCAAGGCUAAAUACUGGCACGAGUCCGAUAGUAGACAAGUACCGUGAGGGAAAGUUGAAAAGUACUCUGAAGAGAGAGUAAAUAGCACGUGAAGCCGCUUGCAGGGAAGCUGGUGGAGUCAAGCUUCAUGUUCAGAGGAUUGUCGGCAGGACUGUCGUUGUUGUAUGGGACGUGACAUUGAUGAGCCUGGAAAGGGUUUGGCGUGCUUCGGUUCGUUUCAAGUCAUUCUGGGCAGAGUGUUUGAGUCUUUGUCUAUCUCCCUGGUCCUGCCGCUUUAUUCUCUGUGACAUACAUCACGGUCAAUAAUGGUUCGUACUGUGUGAUCGCUUAACUGUACAUUGGCGGACAUUCGUGUCUGCCAGGUGCGGAAUGGCAGGUGGUUUGUGCGGGCCUCGUGCUCGUAACUAACUUAUGUUGAUUUUGAUCUGCUAGCGUUCAUGUUUCACAUUUAACAGUAUCGGCCUUAUUGCUCAUAUGCGGUGUUCACUCCUAGGAGUGGACUCCAUGAGAACCGUGAUGCUGA